AUGCAUUGCUUGCAGAAUCCUUUGUCAUGGGAAGAACCUCAGGAAGCACAAUAUGGCAACCUCUGCAACCAUUCUGAACUGCUGGAAUUGAACACUAAUCUUCUGCUUAAUAGAGAUGAGCACCUCUUAGUGAUGCAAAUAAAGGAAAGGAAGAAUGGCUGCUAAUAAGAGCCUCUCUCCAGAAAACGCAUUUCAACUAUAAUGGUGUUAUGCAACUCUGAAUUUAGAGCCUACACAAGAUUUCUCAGACUCUACAAGUUUCUGAAUGGAAGAAGGAAUUAUUUCUGAGUGAAAAUGGAUAAAAAGUUGCUCCUGUUGCCCCGAUUGAAAGACAAAGAGAGAAACCACAAAGUAAGAACCAAAAUAUGGAGGGAAGUUUCGCUCUGACCUAGUUUGGGAUUUAAGCCAUACUACUAUUGGCUGUCUGAAACUUUUUAAGGGGAAGCUGUAAAGGAAAAUAAAUGCUUGUGAGGACGCUACACUCUACUCAGUAAACAACAGCUUCUAGCUCGUAGUUCUGAGGGAUUUCAGUGGCUAAUGAGCAGUCUUACCUUGGUUGUAUGUUGAAUUUGUAUGGUCACACACGAUACUCCUUUUGGACUAAAUGCUCUGCUGUCUGGUGACAUGCCCUGUUUACAAAAGAGUGACAAGGCAGAAUAAAUUAGGAACACUUAAUGAAAUCUGCUUUGGUCCAGUGGCUCUCUAUAAUGCAGAAUAGGCAAAUGAGGCACUGAGAAUGACUCUAUGUUCCCAAUCUAUUUGGCUUAAAAGUGCUUAGGUGCUAUAAUAUGAAGCAUUAUCACAUUAUUGUCCAUUAUCUGAAGAGCUGGAGUUGCUAAAUAUUUCAGAGACCUGGGCUUCCUAGAAAAAAAUAUUACACUCUUAACCUCGUAAGCAUCUUAGAUGAUUUUAUCAAAUGUGGUGUUGACUUGACUGGCUUCUGGUUGAUUUACAAAUAUUUUCUGUCAUUUGAUGUCACGCUAAGAGCUUAUCCCAGUUAAGUUAUUUUAGCAUCUGCUGUAGAUGUUCAUUUCCUUAGUUUGUAUCAGUCCUUUUUUCACCUCGGUGGCUAAUAUGCUUAAAUGUAUCAGUACUAUUGUCUGCUGUGAACAGAACAAAGACUGAUAAAACUGGACAAAUGGGCCAUUUCUACAAUUCCUCUGGUGCUCUUCUUUCCCUCAAGGCUGGACCUGAUGCAUGUUCAUCCCUUAACUACCCACUUUAUACCCACAAAACAAUUUGAAUCCCUAAGCAUUUUUUGCAUGCCCUCUUACUUUCUCUGCAUCUGCAUUCAAAUACCAUUUCACCAUUAGCAGAUUCAGAAAAUGCUGACCAGUGGAAAGCCACAUAGGUGACAAGUUGUGAGAUGCCUGCAUUUGUCCUGGUGCUCUAUGAGCCAGGCAAGCACCUGUGUGGUAGCAGACAGGCAUAUGGGUGCAGAGGUUUAGCCUACAGAGCAGGUCUGCACUUGCACAGAGGCAGCUCGUGUUGCCUCUGGAAAGCCUCUGAAAACAGCUUAUGUACUGCAAUUUGAGCAUCUUUGCACUGUGUCACUGCAAAGCAAAAAUAUUAUUCAGAGCCUUAAUUAUUACAGCAUCUUAAAGUAUAUGUUCAUGAUGACUUUCAGAAUUAUGGGUACAGCUGAGCUGAGGGAGGGUCUUGAGGAGGCCAUUCAUUACUGGAGGAAUGAGAUAAUCCACUUCCUCACUUCCAGGAAAAUGGAAAAUAAAUACAUCCAUGAAAGCAAUUUUUAGUUGCUUGUCCGCAAGAGUUCCUUCUCCU